AAGCUACUCCCUCCGUCUGAAAAUACUUGUCGAAGAAAUGAAUAAAAAUGAAUCUAUUUAGAACUAAAAUAUGUCUAAGAUACAUUCAUUUAUCCAACAAGUAUUUCCGGAAGGAGGGAGUAUAUU
rfam:Triticum aestivum genome assembly, contig: Triticum_aestivum_CS42_TGACv1_scaffold_080677_1DS